rnacentral:piRNA from 1 species
UCAUGUCUAUGACUGAUAUUUCUGGGUUU